GAUGAACGCUGACAGAAUGCUUAACACAUGCAAGUCAACUUGAACUUCGGUUUGGGUGGCGGACGGGUGAGUAACGCGUAAAGAACUUGCCUCACAGAUAGGGACAACAUUUGGAAACGAAUGCUAAUACCUGAUAUUAUGAUUUUAGGGCAUCCUAGAAUUAUGAAAGCUAUAAGCACUGUGAGAGAGCUUUGCGUCCCAUUAGCUAGUUGGAGAGGUAACAGCUCACCAAGGCGAUGAUGGGUAGCCGGCCUGAGAGGGUGAACGGCCACAAGGGGACUGAGACACGGCCCUUACUCCUACGGGAGGCAGCAGUGGGGAAUAUUGGACAAUGGACCGAGAGUCUGAUCCAGCAAUUCUGUGUGCACGAUGAAGUUUUUCGGAAUGUAAAGUGCUUUCAGUUGGGAAGAAAUAAAUGACGGUACCAACAGAAGAAGUGACGGCUAAAUACGUGCCAGCAGCCGCGGUAAUACGUAUGUCACAAGCGUUAUCCGGAUUUAUUGGGCGUAAAGCGCGUCUAGGUGGUUAUAUAAGUCUGAUGUGAAAAUGCAGGGCUCAACUCUGUAUUGCGUUGGAAACUGUGUAACUAGAGUACUGGAGAGGUAAGCGGAACUACAAGUGUAGAGGUGAAAUUCGUAGAUAUUUGUAGGAAUGCCGAUGGGGAAGCCAGCUUACUGGACAGAUACUGACGCUGAAGCGCGAAAGCGUGGGUAGCAAACAGG
rnacentral:rRNA from 1 species